UACAGAGGAUGCAAGCGUUAUCCGGAAUGAUUGGGCGUAAAGCGUCUGUAGGUGGCUUUUUAAGUCCGCCGUCAAAUCCCAGGGCUCAACUCUGGACAGGCGGUGGAAACUACCAAGCUGGAGUACGGUAGGGGCAGAGGGAAUUUCCGGUGGAGCGGUGAAAUGCGUAGAGAUCAGGUGGAACACCGGAGGCGAAGGCGCCUGCCUGGCAGUGUAUUGACGCUGAGGUGCGAAAGUGCGGGGAGCAAACAGG
rnacentral:rRNA from 1 species